UACAGAGGUCUCAAGCGUUGUUCGGAUUCAUUGGGCGUAAAGGGUGCGUAGGCGGCGCGGUAAGUCGGGUGUGAAAUCUUGGAGCUUAACUCCGAAACUGCAUUCGAUACUGCCGUGCUUUGAGGACUGGAGAGGAGACUGGAAUUUACGGUGUAGCGGUGAAAUGCGUAGAUAUCGUAAGGAAGACCAGUGGCGAAGGCGGGUCUCUGGACAGUUCCUGACGCUGAGGCACGAAGGCCAGGGGAGCAAACGGG
rnacentral:rRNA from 1 species